AGAGAGGCCUCGGGGGGAUUCUGGGGCCUGGUAAAGUUUGGGAACUGCUGGUCUACACCAUGAGGAGAAACGCUGGACCCGGCCUAAGAAGAGGCCCUCCCUCCUGUCUGACAAUGAGCCAUGAGAAGACCAUGGGAAAAAAAAGAGGCCACCAGAAACCCUAUUGCCGAGGUCCUGGCAAGGAAGAAAAGGACAGAAGAGCUAAUUUCCCUACAAGAACACGGGUCUAGGAAACAGAAAAUAAAGGAAGCUUCCAUUUCAUGGGCAGAGACAUCUCGGCAAAUAGGCUGAGCCCAUGUCCCCAGAGCUCUGAGUAAUUAAAUUUUGAGAAAAGUG